GAUGAUCGGGAAGCUUUUUUGAUGAUGGUGACGGUGAUGACGACGACGAUGAUCUCUUGUUCUUCCUUGAACCUCCUCCAACUGGAACGUUUCUGAGAGACCCUCCUUCAGUCCAAUAUCUUCUACAAGUCUUACAAAAGUACCUUGGUUGAGUGAGACUGUAAUUAUUGUAGUAACAAAACUUGGUGUUGGUUGAAUUGCACCUAGGGCAGUUCAAAGCUUGUUCCUUUUGUGGUCUUGGCUUCCUUUCAGUUAUAGCCCUUGAGCCUUCCAUGGGUUUCACCAACCCUACCCCCUGAAAAGAAAAGCAAAGAAAAGAAAGAUGGAAAACAAAAACCCAUGACUCUACAUGAUCAAAAUAAAAGGAUUUGUUGACAAAGAUAAAGAGUGAAAAAAAUAUAGCAAACAAACAAGGCAGAGAAAACAAGAAUAUUGCUUUAUGCUUUGAGGAUUACAAUAGCAAUAAAAACAAAUUAGAAUAGCUUUUUUAGGUCCCUUUUGGUGGUGAAAAAGAAAGAAAAAAAAGUGCAGGCAAGGCAUGACAGUACUUUCAA